CCUACGGGUGGCAGCAGUGGGGAAUAUUGCGCAAUGGGGGAAACCCUGAUGCAGCGACGCCGCGUGAGUGAAGAAGUAAUUCGUUAUGUAAAGCGCUAUCAGCAGGGAAGAAAAUGACGGUACCUGCGUAAGAAGCCCCGGCUAACUACGUGCCAGCAGCCGCGGUAAUACGUAGGGGGCAAGCGUUAUCCGGAUUUACUGGGCGUAAAGGGAGCGUAGGCGGCCGGGCAAGUCUGGAGUGAAAGGCGGGGGCUCAACCCCCGGGCGGGGUUGGAAACUGGACGGCUGGAGUGCGGGAGAGGAGAGUGGAAUUCCUGGUGUAGCGGUGGAAUGCGUAGAUAUUAGGAGGAACACCGGUGGCGAAGGCGGCUUACUGGACUGUAACUGACGUUGAGGCGCGAAAGCGUGGGGAGCAAACAGGAUUAGAUACCCGGGUAGUC
rnacentral:rRNA from 1 species